rnacentral:rRNA from 1 species
UACGUAGGGUGCGAGCGUUAAUCGGAAUUACUGGGCGUAAAGCGUGCGCAGGCGGUGCUGUAAGACCGAUGUGAAAUCCCCGGGCUUAACCUGGGAACUGCAUUGGUGACUGCAGCGCUGGAGUAUGGCAGAGGGGGGUGGAAUUCCACGUGUAGCAGUGAAAUGCGUAGAGAUGUGGAGGAACACCGAUGGCGAAGGCAGCCCCUGGGCCAAUACUGACGCCUCAUGCACGAAAGCUAGGGGAGCAAACAG